rnacentral:rRNA from 1 species
UGGCUUGCUUCUGGAUCCCUGCCAUUCGGUCUCGCGGUCGGCUUUGGAAUCCCAGUAGAUUCGAUUUUGGCGGCAGCGCUUUCCGUGCCGCUGGUUGGAUGUUGGGACGAACCAGCCUGAAUUGGGGCCUGGGGAAUCUGAGCUGCCGACUGCCUCUGCCCUUUCGAAUCUUUUUCAGCAACCUGACGGACAGUGUGGUGUUAGACUAUUCUUGCGAUUGCUUUGAUUCCGAAUUUCCGAGUAAGUAGGUUUUCUCAGCUUUGUCUGCGUGGCAGCUGUGAAUGGGAGCUCCUGAGCUUGAUUCAAGCUCGCCCGCAUGCCGCACACGAGCUUGGGCAUUGUCCUGUUCUCGUUGCAGUAAAUUCCUCCGAAGUACUCCCUCCGUUCCAAAAUAGAUGACCCAAUUUGUAUAAAAUUGGGUCAUCUAUUUUGGAACAGAGGGAGUAGAUAGCUGGAACAAUAUUUCUCAUGUAAAUGUAUAGUCCAACUCGUCGACCAGCAUUUUGUCCUCUGUUUUGGCAUUACUGUAACCAUGAGUCUGACAGACUCAGGUUCAUAGUUGAGGACAGGAUACGAAACGGGGGUAGAUGCAGAUUUCGGAUAAUUGUGCAGAAAUAUUGUUAGCUUGUACAAGGAGAUAAGAUUGACAACAAACUAGCCAUAUCAUGUGAUGCUACUAUUUUCACUGGGAUUUUCUUCCCUUUUCUAUUUGAAAUGUUGCAUUAUCAUAUCUCAUCGUAGAAAUAUGCCACAACUAGACAAACUAAGCAUCGAACCUAUACACAAUAUUUCGUUUCCAGUUAGCAUGUAGAUUAUUUAAUUUACCAUGUUGUACACAAAUGAAAACCAUAUAGGUAAGAACCUAAUAUUCCAACUACAACUAGCCUUAUACAUAUUGAUUGUCAUACUUUUGCUGUGGGCCUACUCAAAAUUGAUGCUUGUGGAAGAUGGAACAACUGGCUGUGAACUAAUAAAUUUAGAAAGCAUUUCCUCACUUUUAUUUAUGCAGCUCAAUCAGUAGGAUAACCAUGGUGAUUUGCGAUUGCCUAUGGCUGGGUAUGAUCUGAUAGUAAGUUGGCAUAGCUUUGGUCCCUUCAUAACAUUCAUAGUUUGGUUAAUGUGUCUAAUGACGAUCAGAGGGAAGGAAGAUGAGCGUGUGCAACAUGAUUUGUUAUGAUUGUACAGGAAGGCCCCCCACCAUAGGAAGUUGCCAAUCAAUGUGGAAUUUUUAGCUCUUCUCCGUUUUUCUUGUUUAAUACAGUGAAAUUUACCACCACUAUCAUUAAUGUGAGUCCUCCAUUCACACCUCUGUUCUUUACCAAACCUGGUCAAAUACAAAGAACCAGACCCUUGCUUGAAGUGGUCUGCUUUCUUACUUGUUGUCCCCUGGAGAAUUUUCCUUGUUUUAUUCCCAGAAAUCUAUUAUAGGAAGUAAGCCACCAGCUGGAAGCCUGCAUCUCAUGCUAAACCAAAAGAUGAUAUUGGUUCGAAGUUUAUGAUUCAUGGUGUCGGGUCGAGUUUCCUUAGCCCGGAUUAUUCGGUGACUAGUUAUAACUAAUGGCCCCAAGUCGCCUCAACUAGUCAGGGGGAUUUACAGAGAGGGUGAGAGGAUGUUGAGGGUAAAGUUGUUGUUGUGGAGGACCUUGAAUGUGAUGUCAAGGUGGCGGUAGGUUCUGAGGCAAGGUCCUGGUGGCUGAAGCUGGGGUACGGUAGAUUGCGGUUGAUAAGGGAGGACAUAUUUGGCCCAUGAAGGCCCAUUUGAAAACCCUAGCUUUCUUGAUGUAUCUAACCGUCCAUACUUAUCCGAGCCAUCUGUACCAUCCAUCAAGAAUAGAAGAGUGGUAACUGCCCAGCAGUGCGUGGCCAGCACCAUACAUAGCCGCCGCCAGUGCAGAUCCCUUCUCUCUUCGCAUACCUUCUUCCCUCUUACAACAACUAGCGGCGGGGUUGAUCAAUAGCUGGCGGUGGCACGGUGGUUGAUUCCUCAUGGAAGACCUCGACAACUGCCCAAACCAGCACGCAAGCGUCUAGUGGGGGGUGAGUUGCACAACUUGCCCUGCUAGUUGAGUCACUUUUGCAAGGCUUCAUCGCUGGUCCGGCAAGGCGAUUAGCCCGUGUCUAAUCGGUGAUUAGUCGGCAACUCAAAAACCUUGUAUUGAUUUCAUACCACACUGUUGUUUUCAUGUCUAGAUUUAUUAGAGGUCCACAAAUACGAGGGCCAUCUGAGGCAGUCCUAGUCUUUGGCGUGUUGCAAGUUUUAGUCAUGCCUUGUUUUUUUGUUCAGUAUUGAUAUAUUGUUUCUUUCAUUCAGUACUUUCUUUGUCUAAUAUUUUUUGUAAUUUUAUAGAACCUUAUGUUUCCUUUUAGAUAUAAGCUAGUAACUUGCUUGUAGGUGUAAACAUGGAAACAAUCAUGCUUUAUCCUUGGUAUCAAUCUUCCUUCUUUAGUGCUUGGCAAUUUAGGUCUCAGAAUGCUAAUUGUAUGUUCUAAAAUACCAAGCCGGUCCUGGAAGUUGCACACAACCUCAUUUGUUUUCUAGAUUGGUUAUCAUGUUUUUCCUACUCUCCUUAUUGUGUCAUCUUGUUCACAGUAUUUUCUCCAGUUGCCAGCUGCUUCUUCCUCCAGUACGAGUAGUAGCUGUAGCAGCAGUCAUCUCUUCACAGGAAAAAAGCCCAGCAAGGUGUGAUUAGUCUGCACAGUAUAGCUUCCAACUCCCCACUUCUCAGAGCAGGUUUGCCAUGUCUUCCCCAUCGCUUGUGUCGGUGAGCCGUCGGGAUCCGCCUCUGCCAUCGUCGCCACCUCGGCGAGAGGAUAUCAUACCCUCAAGAUCGACGGUUACUGGUGCGCCAAGGCGACCCCCACGGGUGAGUUCCUCCAAUCCAGUCAAUUCUUCGUCGGCGGCCAUUGCUGGCGCAUCUACUAUUUCCCCAAUGGCAAGGACUCCGAAACAGCAGAUUAUAUUUCCUUUUACCUCAAGCUCGAUGAAAUUGCAACCGAGGAUGUGAAGACGAUGUUCACUAUUAAUUUCGCCAAGGUGGCUGAGAAGCGACUGUCAUGGCCGUGGGCAUCCACAACUAGAUAUGUUUUUGGUGGUAAGCAAAUGUGGGGCUAUCCAAAGUUCAUCAAGAGGGAGGAUUUGGAGAAGUCGGAGCAUCUCAAGGACGAUUCUUUCACAAUCAGGUGUGACAUUGCCGUCAUCCAUGACAUCUGCACCAAACAGACCAGCGCUCCAAAGUUUGUCUUUGUGCCCCCACCCGAGCUGAAUCAGCACCUCGGUGAUCUCCUCAAGACUGAGAAGGGCGCUGACGUUGUGUUUGAGGUAGGCGGUGAGAGGAUUGCUGCACACCGGUGUGUGCCCGCGUCGCGAUCUCCAGUCUUCAGCGCGGAGCUCUUUGGCGUGAUGAAGGAGGGCGACACAGCCAGUGUCAUACACAUAGAUGACUUGGAGGCACAGGUUUUCAAGGAGUUGCUCUACUUCGCCUACACUGACUCAUUGCGAGAGGCAAAAGAAGAAGAGGAAGAUAUCAUGUGUCAGCAUCUGCUCGUUGCGGCGGACAGGUAUAACAUGGAGAGGCUAAAGCUUAUUUGUGAGGAAAAAUUAUGCAAGUACAUUGAUGCAGGCUCUGUUCCGACCAUUCUAGCACUUGCUGAGCAGUACCACUACAAUGGGUUGAAGAAGGCAUGCUUUGAUUUUCUCAGCUGCCCGGCACAUCGGAGGGCAGUCGUGGCCACUGAGGGCUUCCAAAAUUUGUGUAAGAGCUUCCCUUCUCUUGUGAUGGAGCUGAUUGCCAUGCCCUCGCCACCUUAGCUGAGUGUUGCCCCGUAUUUUAGCAAUGGUAGUUCAUGGUUUCUAGAUGGUUGAUAUCAACUAGAUCUCUUGUUUACCAAUGUGUACUGGUAUGUGGACUUUGUGACUUAUGUUAUCAGGCAGUUAUCUUGUCAUGUGACUGUAUUAAGUAAUCAUGAAUGACUCUGUUAUCAGGUUUGCUUUAUGGAUUCAAACCCCC